rnacentral:piRNA from 1 species
UCCUGAGGCAUAGUAGUAUCCACCGAAAC